UGCUCGUGAUGGUGGUGAUGGUCACCAUGAUGUUCGUGAUGGUGGUGAUGUUUGCCAUGGUGGUCAUCGUCAUCGUCGUCAUCAUUACCAUCAUCAUCAUGG